AGCUGCUACACAGACAGGUCCUGGCUCUGCAGACACAGAGGGUCCUGCUGGGUAUGUGGCUUGGUAGGGCUUGGGAUACCUGGGUUUCUCCAAGGAGAGUAGCCCCUGGUUCCAGGUGCUUGCUGACAGCCUCCCAUCCCUGCACAGAGAAGCGGCGGAAGGCUUCAGCCUGGCAACGGAACCUGGGCUACCCCCUGGCUAUGCUGUGCUUGCUGGUGCUGACGGGCCUGUCUGUGCUCAUUGUGGCCAUCCACAUCCUGGAGCUGCUCAUCGAUGAGGCUGCCAUGCCCCGAGGCAUGCAGGUUGUACUCAUCUUUUACCUAAUGGUGUCCUCAGUUGUGGGCUUCUAUAGCUCUCCACUCUUCCGGAGCCUGCGGCCCAGAUGGCACGACACCGCCAUGACGCAGAUAAUUGGGAAUUGUGUCUGUCUCCUGGUCCUAAGUUCAGCACUUCCUGUCUUCUCUCGAACCCUGGGGCUCACUCGCUUUGACCUGCUGGGUGACUUUGGACGCUUCAACUGGCUGGGCAAUUUCUACAUUGUGUUCCUCUACAAUGCAGCCUUUGCAGGCCUUACCACA
rnacentral:sRNA from 1 species